CUCUGCUUAACCCUCCUGUGCCGGGCUCACGAACAGGAUGCAGCCACCUUGGGCAUGGUGGAACCUUGGGCACGGACUGCUAGAAAACGGAACUGACCAGGAGACGCCUGCCACACACGGCCUUUGUCUUUCUGAGAGAACUGAUGGGAGGCCGCACAAGCUACUCAGGAAGCUGAGGAUGGAACCCGGGACCUUUCCCUUCGUGGGCUGGGCAAGUUCCUUCCUCAGCUUCUGGGAUUUUCUCCAGACAGUGAAGCCCCAGGUGAAGAGAGAACUCGCUGGGGCUCCCUGCACCUCCCUGAGAUUUAUGAUGCGUCUGUGAUGAAAGGCCACCCCAGCCGGGCACCUCACCUGUGUGGGUGUUCACAUGGUUCCUAAGAAGAGUGACGGUCCGGAAGGCCUUCAGGCACAGGUGACACAGGUGUGGCCUCUCGUUGCUGUGAAUUUUGAUGUGACGAUUGAAAGUUGAGAGCUUGGAGGAAGUGAACGGGCAGGUGUCGCACUGAAAGCUCUGAGGCUUUCCUGUAGAGAGAAGACACACACCAGUGUAGCUGGAAAGAUCGUCCCUUGAGCAGCCCCUCAGAGGCCAACGUGACUUCCUUAGCCUAGUGCUGUUGAGGAUUAUGAGAUGUCUCAAAACCUCGGGACACUCUGUUUUUGAUGAAGAACAUCUUGUUAAGAAGUACCCAGCUUCUGUUUCCUGCCACAGGGCUGUCCAGGUCCCUAACCCACCCUCUCUGUUGUUAACAAUAGAGAACAGUGUGGCCAUUGAACACCGGUAACUGCAGUUCCAGGGGGUCUGAUGCCCUCUUCUGGCCACUAUGGGAACUGCACACAGGUUGUGCACAGAAAUACAUACAUUCUUUUGUUUGUUUGUUUGUUUUUGUUUUUCGAGACAGCCAAAGCUACAGAGAGAAACCCUGUCUUGAAAAUCAAGAAACAAACAAACAAACCAAUCAGUCUUAAUAAACUGUCAUUUACAGUGUGGUAUAGAUCAAGGAGGUCAGAAGACAAAGUCCUCUCCAAGCAGGGAGUCCCAGAAGCAAGUCUCCCAUAAACAUGGACCCAAGUGGGUACCCAAGUUCUCUGUUGGGUAAAUGAAGACCCCCCAGCCCCCAAUGCCUUCCCAGAAUCCUCCACCCAAGCCAGGAGAGCUCUGGGAAACUGGCAUGAAGCUGAACAAAGCCACAGCCCACAGCCACAAGUGACUAUUUAAAUUUGUAUC
ensembl:antisense Ctcflos CCCTC-binding factor (zinc finger protein)-like, opposite strand